rnacentral:rRNA from 1 species
UGGGGAAUUUUGGACAAUGGGGGAAACCCUGAUCCAGCCAUCCCGCGUGUGCGAUGAAGGCCUUCGGGUUGUAAAGCACUUUUGGCAGGAAAGAAACGUCGCGGGUUAAUACCCCGCNAAACUGACGGUACCUGCAGAAUAAGCACCGGCUAACUACGUGCCAGCAGCCGCGGUAAUACGUAGGGUGCAAGCGUUAAUCGGAAUUACUGGGCGUAAAGCGUGCGCAGGCGGUUCGGAAAGAAAGAUGUGAAAUCCCAGAGCUUAAACUUUGGAACUGCAUUUUUAACUACCGGGCUAGAGUGUGUCAGAGGGAGGUGGAAUUCCGCGUGUAGCAGUGAAAUGCGUAGAUAUGCGGAGGAACACCGAUGGCGAAGGCAGCCUCCUCGGGAUAACACUGACGCUCAUGCACGAAAGCGUGGGGAGCAAACAGGAUUAGAUACCCUGGUAGUCCACGCCCUAAACGAUG